UAGCCAUAUCAUGUUGAAACACCAGUUCCCAUAUGAUCACUGAAGUUAAGCAAUGUUGAGCUUGGUUAGUACCUAGAUGGGUGACUACUUGGGAAUACCAGGUACUGUAAU